CCUACGGGUGGCAGCAGUGUGGAAUAUUGGACAAUGGGGGGAACCCUGAUCCAGCCAUGCCGCGUGUGUGAAGAAGGCCCUCGGGUUGUAAAGCACUUUCAGUGAGGAAGAACGCCUGGUGGUUAAUACCCAUCAGGAAAGACAUCACUCACAGAAGAAGCACCGGCUAACUCCGUGCCAGCAGCCGCGGUAAUACGGAGGGUGCGAGCGUUAAUCGGAAUUACUGGGCGUAAAGCGCGCGUAGGUGGCUUGAUAAGCCGGUUGUGAAAGCCCCGGGCUCAACCUGGGAACGGCAUCCGGAACUGUCAAGCUAGAGUGCAGGAGAGGAAGGUAGAAUUCCCGGUGUAGCGGUGAAAUGCGUAGAGAUCGGGAGGAAUACCAGUGGCGAAGGCGGCCUUCUGGACUGACACUGACACUGAGGUGCGAAAGCGUGGGUAGCAAACAGGAUUAGAUACCCUAGUAGUC
rnacentral:rRNA from 1 species